rnacentral:rRNA from 1 species
GAGAAGACCACGAGUUAUGAUCCAGAGUACCACGAGACACGUGAAACCUUGUGGGAAGCAGGGAGGACCACCUCCCAAGGCUAAAUACUACCUGAUGACCGAUAGUGAAGCAGUACCGUGAGGGAAAGGUGAAAAGAACCCCGGGAGGGGAGUGAAAUAGAACCUGAAACCGUGUGCCUACAACCGCUCAGAGCCCCUUAUGAGGGUGAUGAGGUGCUUUUUGUAGAACGAGCCAACGAGUUACGGUAUGUAGCAAGGUUAAGUACUUAAGGUACGGAGCCGAAGGGAAACCGAGUCUGAAUAGGGCGACUAGUUGCAUGCCGUAGACCCGAAACCGGGUGACCUAUCCAUGGCCAGGUUGAAGCGAGGGUAAAACCUCGUGGAGGACCGAACCACGUUGCUGUUGAAAAAGCAUGGGAUGAGCUGUGGAUAGCGGAGAAAUUCCAAUCGAACCCGGAGAUAGCUGGUUCUCUCCGAAAUAGCUUUAGGGCUAGCGUCGAGUAUGAGUAGUGGAGGUAGAGCACUGAAUGGGCUAGGGGGCAUAGCGCUUACCGAACCUUAUCAAACUCCGAAUGCCACAUACUUUGAGCUCGGCAGUCAGACUACGAAUGAUAAGAUCCGUGGUCAAAAGGGAAACAGCCCAGAUCGUCAGCUAAGGUCCCAAAGUGUAAGUUAAGUGGGAAAGGAUGUGAGAUUUCUAAGACAACUAGGAUGUUGGCUUAGAAGCAGCCAUUCAUUAAAAGAGUGCGUAAUAGCUCACUAGUCGAGAGAUCUUGCGCCGAAAAUGUAACGGGGCUAAACUUACC